GCAGUCGAGCGAACUGAUUAGAAGCUUGCUUCUAUGACGUUAGCGGCGGACGGGUGAGUAACACGUGGGCAACCUGCCUGUAAGACUGGGAUAACUUCGGGAAACCGAAGCUAAUACCGGAUAGGAUCUUCUCCUUCAUGGGAGAUGAUUGAAAGAUGGUUUCGGCUAUCACUUACAGAUGGGCCCGCGGUGCAUUAGCUAGUUGGUGAGGUAACGGCUCACCAAGGCAACGAUGCAUAGCCGACCUGAGAGGGUGAUCGGCCACACUGGGACUGAGACACGGCCCAGACUCCUACGGGAGGCAGCAGUAGGGAAUCUUCCGCAAUGGACGAAAGUCUGACGGAGCAACGCCGCGUGAGUGAUGAAGGCUUUCGGGUCGUAAAACUCUGUUGUUAGGGAAGAACAAGUACGAGAGUAACUGCUUGUACCUUGACGGUACCUAACCAGAAAGCCACGGCUAACUACGUGCCAGCAGCCGCGGUAAUACGUAGGUGGCAAGCGUUAUCCGGAAUUAUUGGGCGUAAAGCGCGCGCAGGCGGUUUCUUAAGUCUGAUGUGAAAGCCCACGGCUCAACCGUGGAGGGUCAUUGGAAACUGGGGAACUUGAGUGCAG
rnacentral:rRNA from 2 species